rnacentral:misc_RNA from 1 species
AUCAUAAUCCAUGAGUGUAUGCCUAAAAUAUAAAAUGGUGAGCAAGGGGGGAGAGGAAGCAAGAGAUGUCAUCAAGAUACAAAUAAUACAAAGAAGAUCAUUUACCCAAGUUAUAAAAGUGGGCAAGGCAGCAUUCGUUAAAAUAUAACUAACAUAAGUAAAUUAUGAGAAGUGUCAUCUUACAAAAACAUAUAUACCAUGAAACAAGUAAUUAAUAACUACACAAAACGUCACAUAUUGUCCUUCAGUAGCCAUUUCAAAAGAAAAUGUAAAACAACAUGCACAUUGAUUGCUGCUACUCCAUAAUUAUUCUCCUAAACCCUUACAAACCAGGCUACUCUUUUUAUUUUGUUGCGCAAUUACACUAGUAUGCACAAUGGCUACUAACAAACUAUCAUUGUCCUGGUUAUGAGCUUAAGUUAAUCAUGGAAGUGACUGGAACAUGGGGACAGUGUGUGACAGUAAAUUAAAUAACAUCAUAAAAUUCAAAGCAUAUGGAAGGGAGGGAGGAUAAGACAACAAAGUGUUAUAUGAAGUAUGAACAGCUUACAAGGUUAAAAGUUAGACAUUUCCUUUUUAUUUUUACCUCUCUAACUCACAAGCUGCUAUUCCUCAGUCACAGCAAUCAAAUUGGCUUCCUCAAUACAAAUAUAAAACUUACAAGUGGAAUCAAAAUAUGGCAUGACAUGAUAUAGUAGAAUAAAAGCAUGCCAAUAAACUUCCCAAAAAAAAUAUAAUGGUCUGAUUUACAAUACUUUUGCAAGGAACAACGCCAGUCAUAUGUCAAAUAAUCCCUACCUCAGUACUUGGGAAACCAAUUAAAAUGAACAUUAAAUAUAAACAGAUGAUGUUAUUGCUUAAAGGAAAAUUCUUAUUUAAAUUCAAAAAGAAAUCCAGUUAUAAUAAAGACCAAAGGACAGUUGGAAGAAAGAAAAACCUUCAGUUUUUAGUCUAGAAAGCUUUUGUUUUUCUUAUUAUCACAAGAGAGCAAAAGAGAGAAAUAAAAAGUCUUAUUUGUAAGAGAAAAGUUUUUAUUUGAAAUAGAGAGUAUGAGUUUGCAUAGGGAAAAGUCUGGUUGUUGGUUAAUACAAUAAAGUUUGACUUUUAGAGAAGAAAAUAUCCUCUUUGGAGAGAGAGUGGUUUUCAGGAGGAAAAUCUUACCAAUAUUGUUUUAGGAAAAGUUUAAAAUUUUGAAGUUUGAGGGGAAAAAGAAUGGAUAGCCAGCCAGUUAGAGGUUUCUAUUGUGCAUGGGUGCAAGUGAUGCUUGACAAUGGCAGUAAUAUAGAAGACAAUGUGCUAUAAUGUUAGAAAUAAGAUGAGCAAAGCAAGGACGAUGAAUAAGAAAUAAAAACUAGUGAUCUUGUCAAAUCCACAAUAG